rnacentral:rRNA from 1 species
AUUGAACGCUGGCGGCAGGCCUAACACAUGCAAGUCGAACGAGUGGCGGACGGGUGAGUAGUGUCUGGGAAACUGCCUGAUGGAGGGGUAUAAACAGUGGAAACGGGAGCUUAUACCACAUACUCUGGUGUGUCCCCAUAUGGGAUUAGCUAGUAGGUGGGGUAAAGGCUCACCUAGGCGACGAUCCCUAGCUGGUCUGAGAGGAUGACCAGCCACACUGGAACUGAGACACGGUCCAGACUCCUACGGGAGGCAGCAGUGGGGAAUAUUGCACAAUGGGCGCAAGCCUGAUGCAGCCAUGCCGCGUGUAUGAAGAAGGCCUUCGGGUUGUAAAGUACUUUCAGCGGGGAGGCGUUACCCGCAGAAGAAGCACCGGCUAACUCCGUGCCAGCAGCCGCGGUAAUUC